GCCUGGGUGGCUCAGUUGGUUGAGCAUAUGACUUUGGCUCAGGUCAUGAUCUCACAUUUUGUGAGUUCGAGCCCCAUGUCGGGCU
rnacentral:tRNA from 1 species